CAUGCUCAUAUAUUGGAAGUCAGAUCAGUUUGAGAUCAUUUGGUAUAUUGACUCCGAUUAUAUUAGAUGCAAAGAUAACAUAUCAUGACGCAUCUGAUUAUAGAACUUUGUCACGGGGCUGCACAUAGUGGAUAAGGAGUUAAAGACCACUAAAGUUAUUUGUGACAAUAAAUCAGUAGUUUUAUUUUCAAUAACAACAGGAACUCGACGAAGUCUUGUUUUUAAAGAUUAAGUUCAGAGUGAACAGUUGUCUAUAGAGCAUAUCAGUACAAACUCCAUGUUG
rnacentral:lncRNA from 1 species